AUGAGCCGCCGGGUCUCCCAGUGAGGAGGCCAGGGCCGCCGGAUCCGGUGACCCCGGUCUCCUCGCCGGCGGAUCCGGCGGAUCCG
rnacentral:pre_miRNA from 1 species